rnacentral:rRNA from 1 species
AUUGAACGCUGGCGGCAGGCCUAACACAUGCAAGUCGAACGGUAGCACAGAGAGCUUGCUCUCGGGUGACGAGUGGCGGACGGGUGAGUAACGUCUGGGAAACUGCCCGAUGGAGGGGGAUAACUACUGGAAACGGUAGCUAAUACCGCAUAACGUCGCAAGACCAAAGUGGGGGACCUUCGGGCCUCACACCAUCGGAUGUGCCCAGAUGGGAUUAGCUAGUAGGUGGGGUAAUGGCUCACCUAGGCGACGAUCCCUAGCUGGUCUGAGAGGAUGAGCGGCCGAACUGAGAGUGGUACGCGGUCCAGACUCCUACGGGAGGCAGCAGUGGGGAAUAUUGCACAAUGAGCGCAAGCCUGAUGCAGCCAUGCCGCGUGUAUGAAGAAGGCCUUCGGGUUGUAAAGUGCUUUCAGCGGGGAGGAAGGCGGUGAAGUUAAUAGCUUCACCGAUUGACGUUACCCGCAGAAGAAGCACCGGCUAACUCCGUGCCAGCCGCCGCGGUAA